rnacentral:lncRNA from 10 species
CGGCCUCGGCACCGCCCCGGCCCUGCCCGGCAGCCCGCGGGCCUCAGGCUGGCCCCAAGCAGGUCCCCCGAGGUCCCUUAGCAGCUGCUUUUGAUCCCCAGGGACCCCGCACCCUGGCCACCCAUCAGUUAGGCCGGAGGGGCCCAGUGACUCUUGGACCUGAGUCAGGUCCUUUUGUCCCACUGCCUGGCAUGGCUCCAGGUCUGUCUGCUCAGCUCUGAGCCAUGGUCCCUGGCCCCUUGGAAACACCACAGACUAGAGCUUCAGCAUCCUGAAGACAGGCACACGGCACUCCAGAGGACUGAGACAGCUGGAGGAUCUUCCUAGAGGGUGAGAGACUAAGGCCAUGCCCUGACAGAUGUAAUAGGACUUCCACAGGCGAAGAGAUUGAGAAAGAAGGCCUUCCACGUGGGAGAAGUCCUGGGAGGAAACACAGACGCAGAAUAUGUCCAGCAGGCUCUGAAACCUGUGUGGUUAGAACAGAAGGUUCCUGGAAAAUAGGAGUGGGUGAGGAGAUCGACUGGGGAGCCUGGCUCACUCUAUAGAAUUUUGCAAACUGAAGAGGGAUCCAAGAAGCAUUUCAGAAAGCCAGAUCUAGCAGGUUUGUGUACAAGGAGUUGGAAAUGAGAUAAACUGUUGGUGGAGAGGUCAUUUUGGAGAUGUUUUUCUUUUAGAAUUCUUUCAUAUUUAAGAAUAGACUGAAUAACCCUGACAGUCCCCAGAAAGGAUGAACAAAAUGAUUCAAUUCAACCAACAUUUGUUGAGCACUUAGUGUACACAAAGCAAGAGAAAACGUUAGAUGCUUGUUAAAAGCAAAUAUUGGUGAUUCUGGUUUUAAGCCACCCCCGAAUUGAAGAAAUCCAAACUAAACAGAACGCUAAGGAAUUAUUCCACUUCAAAUGCCUGCCAAUUUCCUCAAGAUUCAGCUUGUGACAGAUACAAAUACAUUCCAGGAAAGUACUUUCCCUUUUUCACUGCUGACUUUACAGACUUUAACAUAAAUAAGACAGGCAGCACUUUGUUUAGAUAAAUUUUUAUGAAGGUAUUAAUCCAUGGCUUACUAUAUAUUUCACUGUCAAUGAAAAAUUCAACUCUAUUUAAUUUUCCUUAAAAAAUGAAAGUUUAAAACAAAUUACCAGAUCUUUAAUGCAACCCAAAAAUCAACUUAUGUUUUUGAUGGCUUGAAACCUAUUCCACAUUCAAUUGGAUGUUCAGACUUUGCUCCAAAGUUGAAGAAAAGAUUAAAAACUUCUGGGACAAAUCAGAAUAAAGCUCCUAGAACUUACUAGGAUGUUUUUUGGUACAGUUCACAUUCUAGGACACAUUUCUGAAAUCCUAUCUUGUAAGAUGGCUCUAGGUGUUUGAAAUCUACAUUUAUAUGUUAAUUUCAUGUCAGACUUCACCCCUAUAAAACCUAAUGCCUGCUUAGACUCAGCUGAUUGCCACGAGGCUCUCAGAUUCCAUUAUAUCCGAUACUUCAAAGAAACAUUUCCUCGGUGCAUCUGCUUCGUAUUUUCUAGCAUUUUCAUUCAUUCAUUCAUUUGACAUACAUUUGUUGAACAUCAGUUCUGAAAAGCUACAGGACCCGUGAGGCUUUGGGGACGCAAUAGCGUGUGUGUGUGUGUGUGUGUUUGUGCAUGUGCACGCAUAUGUGUGUGUGGCCAGGAGGAGGAAGGGGAAGCAAGUAGAACAGUAAAAUCCAGAGAUCCAGUCACUGGGAGAAGAUUGAGUUAGGGAAGGCCCCUUGGACUACGAUGAGACUUUUGAGUUGGGCCUGGAGGGAUCGGUUAAAGUGUGUCAGGCAGUCUGAUCCCUGACCAAGGAAUUGUUCAUGCAAAGGCCUGAAGUAGUAAAGGACAUGGUUCAUUCUGGCACUGUCAAAAGCUCAUGUGGAACCAGGCCCCGUGGCUCAGGCCUGUAAUCCCAACACUUUGGGAGGCUGAGGCAGGUGGAUCACUUGAGGCCAGGAGUUUGAGACCAGCCUGGCCAACAUGGUGAAAACCCAUCUCUACUAAAACUACAAAAAUAAGCUGGGCAUGGUGGUGCAUGCCUGUAAUCCCAGCUACUCGGGAGGCUGAGGCAUGAGAAUCACUUGAACCUGGGAAGCGGAAGUUGCAGUGAGCCGAGAUCACGCCACUGCACUCCAAUCUGCAGGACAGAGACUCUGUCUCUACAAAAAAAAAAGAAAGAAAAAGAAAAGCUCCUGUGCCAGAUAUAAAGUGCGCAUAAAAUAUAUACUGACCUUGCAGGUUGUACUUGACCUUGCAAGUAACUGGAGACCAGUGGAAGUGCCUCAGGCAGGCCUGAAGUGGAAGCAAGGAAGGGCUCCUUCCUGCUUCAGAAUGACCUGCUCGUGAGCCCAGAGGAAGCAGAGGCAGGCUCAGCUCCAAGGACCUCCCUGAGCAGCUGGCUGAGAAGUGAGCCCACAACCAGUGAAAACUGUGACAGCUGCACGACCGCCUUGAAUGCUGCCCUGCGUUGUGGAUGUUUGUGCUGUCCCUUGCUGCAACCUGAGUGCCUGCACAGCAGGGAGGGCCUCCGUUGCCUUUUGCAACUGGCACCAGACAUGCCACCUAGAUUUGCACUAAAUGUUCCCUGAAGGGAGGAAAGAGAACUCGUUGCCAUGAAAACACAUUUCUCUAGAAACUUUUUUGAAAAGUUCAUUAACUUUUGGAAAAGAUGAAAAACUAGUAUAAUGAACACUUGUAUACCCUUCACCUAGAUUCAUACAUAUAUAUACAGAUACACACACACACACACCACACACACACCACACACACAUACACGCACACACCACACACACAUACACACACACCACACACACACACACCACACACACCACACACACACAUACACAUAUAUACGCACAUACACACAUGUAUACACACACAGACACACACAUACACACAAACACACACAUAGACACACACACACAUAGACACACACACACACAUAUAUACACACAUACAGGCACACCUCGGAGAUAUUCUGGGUUCAGUUCCAGACCGCCACAGUAAAGUGAGGUAUGCCUCUAUAUACACAAACAUGCGUAUAUGUGUAUGUGUGUGUAUGUAUAUAUGUAUAUGUAUAUGUGUAUAUGUAUAUGUAUGUAUGUACACAUAUUUUUCCCUGUACCAUUUAAAGUAAGUUGUAUACACCCCUACCUCAUUGUGUAUCUCUUAAGAACAAGGACACCAGCCGGGCGUGGUGGCUCACGCCUGUAAUCCCAGCACUUUGGGAGGCCAAGACGGGCAGAUCUCCUGAGGUCAGGAGUUCAAGACCAGCCUGGCCAACAUGGCAAAAACCCGUCUCUACUAAAAACACAAAAAUCAGCCAGGCGUGGUGGCAUGCACCUGUAAUCCCAGCUACUCGGGAGGCUGAGACAGAAGAAUCGCUUGAACCUGGGAGGCGCAGGUUGCAGUGAGCCGAGAUUGCGCCAUUGCACUCCAGCCUGGGCAACAGGAGUGAAACUCCAUCUCAGAAAAAAAAAAAAAAAAAAAAAAGGAAUUAAACUACCAUCAGAGUGAACAGGCAACCUACAAAAUGGGAGAAAAUUUUCGCAACCUACUCAUCCGAC